rnacentral:hammerhead_ribozyme from 1 species
AUCCAGCUGACUAGUUUCAAAUAAGACGAAACGCGCUUCCUGGAU